rnacentral:rRNA from 1 species
UUCUCUAAGAAUUAAUUUAAAGUAAACCCUGCUCAAUGUCUAUGAUAAACUGCCGCAGUUAUCUGUGCUAAGGUAGCAUAAUCACUUGCUCUAUAAUUAAGAGAUAGAAUGAAAGGGCAAACGUAUUAAUAUUAUCUUUUUACUAAACCUUAAACUAAUCUUUAUGUAAAAAAGCAUAAAUAAUCUAGCAAGACGACAAGACCCUGAUAAGCUUCACUAUCAUUUAGUUGGGGCGACAAAAUAAAAACACCUUAUUAUUAUCAUAACAAAUUCAACUUAUAUAAUAAAUUAAAUAUCAGCUACUACAGGGAUAACAGCGCUAUUUCUUUCAAGAGCCCUUAUCUAAAAAGAAGAUUACGACCUCGAUGUUGAAUUAGUUUUACUCAUCCAGGCGCAAAAGCCUCUAAAGUCAGUCUGUUCGACUGUUAAUAAGCU